GACGAAGGAUGCAAGCGUUAUCCGGAUUCAUUGGGUUUAAAGGGUGCGUAGGCGGGCUUGUAAGUCAGUGGUGAAAUCUCUCAGCUUAACUGAGAAACUGCCAUUGAUACUGCAGGUCUAGAGUAUAGAUGACGUUGGCGGAGUACGACAUGUAGAGGUGAAAUUCUUAGAUAUGUCGUGGAACACCGAUUGCGAAGGCAGCUAACGAAACUAUAACUGACGCUGAGGCACGAAAAUGCGGGGAUCAAACAGG
rnacentral:misc_RNA from 1 species